CUCUCAGUGUGCUGUUUGCUGGCCAUUCACCAUGAGGGGACAAGUGUCACCUGCCUCCUGAGUGGCAUGUGCCACCCUGGGCAGUGGCGCUGAGCAUUUAUGAAGCCUGACACUCUACCACUUUGAGCCUGAGGGGAAGCUGUGAGGACUCAGCAUGUCAGAGAGACUGCACGUAUGGGAGAAUGCACGCACGGGAGCCGGAGGGACGCAGAGGAACCAGUGUGAGGCACCAGGGAAGACACACCGCAGGCUUGCCUCCUCAGUGCUCCCAGAGGUUGACCAUGGACUCAUGCCAAGCUCAGUGUGUAAAGAAAGUCAGAGUCAGAGAAGGCAGGCCCUGCUCCAGGCUCCAAGGGCCUGCUCUGUCCAAUGAGCCUUGAGGUCUUUUGCACUUGUGCUUCUGGCCGGGAAGUUCCUGGAACCCUUAGGAGCUCUCUUCCCUCCCUCAGCACCAGCCCCUUUCCAUAUUGUUUGAUACUUGAUCAUUCAUCCCUGGAUCGUAGCAGUGGGUGUGGAUGAUCAGCCUUUAUUAAUGAAGUUUAUGCUGUCCUCAGAGAAACCUAGGGAUCUGUGUGCAAGUGUAGACAGUAACUUAUGAGAUGAUUUACUUCCUAUACCCUCUCCCUGUCACCCUGACCCUGAGUCACUGCUGUCGUUACUCAAGCCUGAGGAUGGCAGGAAUUGAGGGAGGCCCCUUACAAUGGCUUAGGGCUUCCAGAAGGCCAGAAAAACCUGUUCCAUCUUAUUGAUGGGAGAAAAAGAUGUAUGAGCAAAGUGCCAGGGAUUCCCCUUGAGGAUUGGGCUGGGAUCCUCUAGUUGUGCUUCUGAUGGGCAUACCCAAGGAACUCAAGUUAGAUUUCUCUAAUACUAUCCAUCCAUCCAUCCAUCCACCCACCCACUCAUCCACCCAUUCAUUCAUCCAUCCACUCACUCAUCCAUCCAUUCACCCAUCCAUCUAUCCAUCCAUUUACCCACCUACCCAUCUAUCCAUCCAUACAUCCACUCAUCCAUCCAUCCAUCCACCUAUCCAUCCACCUGUGCAGACAUCCAGCAUCCAUUUCUUGGGCAGCAUCUCAGCCUGAUGCAAUAUGCCAGGAGUUUUAGGACACUUACCUUUCUCCCAGGGAGCUCAUAGGUAUGUACACACAAUAAUACAUAAUAAUCAUGUGUCACAGAA
rnacentral:lncRNA from 10 species